rnacentral:lncRNA from 1 species
CGCAGGCAGACGACGUUUGGAAGCUGAUCUCUGUCGGUGAGGAUUGCUGCUUAUUAAGUGUCAGGGCCGUGGUGAAUUGUGCGAAAGAAACCGUGACUGCUGUCUGAACAGAAAUUGUUACAAGAAAGGCAAUGAUCUGGUCAGCAAUCCAGUGAAACAGUUCUUUUCUUCAGCUCAGGAUUGAAGCAUAAUAAACCGGCUGUAACGGGUCCGGUUUACAUUCUUGUACUCUGUUUUCUUGAUUUCUUAUCUGAAUAAAACACACUCUGAAAGCAA